UAAGACGGAACUUACAAAGAUU
rnacentral:miRNA from 1 species